GGGGAGGCAGUUCUGGCAAGGUGAAGGUUAGGCGGGAUCGGGGCGUCAAGGCUGGCGUCUGCCCGCCUGACCACCCACCGGCUAGCGAGGCCACCGCGGUUCCCGCUGGGAGAGGAAACACGGCUGUGGCUUGUGAGAGGUGGCCGGGCAGUGCGGCCCCUCGCCUGCAGCCGCCUUCUGCAGAGUUGGUCUUCGGUGGGGAUGGGGCAGCUGAGCCAUGUGCACCACUCUCUUCCUGCUCAGCUUGGCCAUGCUGUGGCGCCGCAGAUUUACCAACAACCGGGUGGAACCGGAGCCCAGCACAGUGGAUGGGGCAGUUGUGGGGAGCAGCUCCGACACUGACUGUCAAUCUUCUGGCAGAGAGAGAGGACCUGUGAAGUAGGCCUCCACUUCUUCAGGCAGCUCGGCUCUGUGACCCAGCCAGCUGGAGUCCUCGUUCAACCCCUAUCCUGGGAGGAUGCUGUGGGGGCUGGAAGCAAUGGCAGGAGGGAGAAUGGGAGAAGCAGCCACGGAGAAGACCUCAGUUUCCCCACUCAGUAAACAUGGUGAAUCUGCACGGCCUGGUGCUGAGAUGUGAAGAUCUCAUGACCUCCCCAGGAAGGGAAGCAGCUGGAGGAGCUCCAGGGCGGCUUAGACUAUCUCCACCGAGAGAGACUCCGAUGGACUGCGGCCGAGGGUGCUGACAAAGAUGUGCCCACGUGACAAACACUUAUGGAGUGCCUGUGUGCCACAGUGCAAAACCAGAUUCAGAGCACCUGUCAAAUCCAACCAGAAACUGGACAAGACAUAAGAAGCAGGCAUGACAGUGGAGGGCACACAAGACGGUGACCCUGUGACUGUCUCAGCCUCUGCUCAGAAUCAAUCUCUCGUCAGGAAGGAAAACCAGAGCAGGUGAGGAGACAGUGUGACACUCAUGGUGACAUGCAGAAACAGAGGCAGCAAUGGCAAUUCAACAGGGGGCAGAACACACAGAAGGAAAACCAACUGCACUUGAACAAAAGUAAACGUACACACUUGUGAGGACUGGGUGGGAACACUGGCCAAACAAAUGGCCUGGGUGUGGCUCCGGGGUCGAGUGCUGGACGGGCAGUACAAAACUCUAGGUUCAGUCCUCAGCCCCCACCCCAACCCCUGACAAACAAACACCCAAACAAGCUGGGUACUGUGGUGUACUUGCAAGGCAGAAGCAGGGGGAUCCCUGUGAGUUUGAGGGUAGCCUGGUCUACAUAGCAAGCUCCAGGCCAGCCAGGGCUACAUAGUAGGAACCUGUCUCAAAAAACAAGACAAAACAAGCAUCUAAGAAAGACCUCUAUCUGGAAUAGAGAUGGCUCAGAGGUGAAGAGCAUUUGCUGCUCUUGCAGAGGACCAGGGUUCGGGUCCCAGCACUUACAUGGUGUCUCACAACAGUCUGUAACUCCAAUUUCAAGGGAUCUGACACCCUCUUCUGGACUUGGAAGGUUCCCACAUGCAUGUGGGCACAAAGCUCAUACCCACACAUAGAGAAAUAAAUCAAUUUAAAGAGUAGAAUGAAGAACUUUCACAAUUCAGGGGCUGGACAUCUGGCUCAACAGUUGAGCUGCUUUUCCAGGAGACUAGAAUUCUGUUCCCAGUACCCCAAGGCAGCUUACAACUACCUGUAGCCAGUUUCAAGGAUGUGACUUCCUCUUCUGGCCUCUAGGCACUGAACUAACAAUGUGCAUAACCAACCCCACAUACACAAAGAAAAUCUUUCUCUCUCUUUUUUAAAGACUCAUUUAUUUUAUGUACAUGAGUGCUCUAUGCGCAUGUGCGCCUGUGGGCCAGAAGA